ACACACGCUUUCUUGUUAGAUCUGCUGCUAUUUGAGCUUGGAAAUGCCGGAAACCUGCUGUGCUGUUGGAUGUAGCAAUAGACGAGGCGAUAAACCAAAUCUUAGCUUCGGAUCGCGGCGAUUUGUCGUGAACGAUGGAAACCUACGAUGUACACAAGGAUAUGCAAUGAACACUUCAUAUCAGGCCAGGUUGGAUGGCGAGCUUAGAGCCCUGAACUAGUCUGAAGCUUUAUGCCUGGAACCGAACCACCUGAACUGAACUGAAUCCACCCAACCGAGCCCCGGGCUGGUGCUGUGAGGAAAAAAUGUGUUGACAAGGUCAGCCACGGACGAUGAGGUCACCAAACACGCGAUCAGGUGGUUCAACCUGGCGGGGGAUCGGGCAACGAGGAGACGAGUCACGCCUCCAACUCCUCAGGAGGAAUAGAAAUGUAUAUGUGUAAAUAAACAACCUUUUAUUGAACUUCUUGUCAUUCACCAGUUAUUCAUUUUCUGAUAUGUUAGCUGUGCAUGGAGCAGCAUUUCGUUGAAGUU